rnacentral:rRNA from 1 species
GAUUGAACGCUAGCGGGAUGCCUUACACAUGCAAGUCGAACGGCAGCACGGACUUCGGUCUGGUGGCGAGUGGCGAACGGGUGAGUAAUGUAUCGGAACGUGCCUAGUAGCGGGGGAUAACUACGCGAAAGCGUAGCUAAUACCGCAUACCCCUACGGGGGAAAGCAGGGGAUCGCAAGACCUUGCACUAUUAGAGCGGCCGAUAUCGGAUUAGCUAGUUGGUGGGGUAACGGCUCACCAAGGCGACGAUCCGUAGCUGGUUUGAGAGGACGACCAGCCACACUGGGACUGAGACACGGCCCAGACUCCUACGGGAGGCAGCAGUGGGGAAUUUUGGACAAUGGGGGAAACCCUGAUCCAGCCAUCCCGCGUGUGCGAUGAAGGCCUUCGGGUUGUAAAGCACUUUUGGCAGGAAAGAAACGUCAUGGGCUAAUACCCCGUGAAACUGACGGUA